rnacentral:rRNA from 1 species
GAUGAACGCUGGCGGCGUGCCUAAUACAUGCAAGUCGAGCGAACAGACAAGGAGCUUGCUCCUUUGACGUUAGCGGCGGACGGGUGAGUAACACGUGGGUAACCUACCUAUAAGACUGGGAUAACUUCGGGAAACCGGAGCUAAUACCGGAUAAUAUUUCGAACCGCAUGGUUCGAUAGUGAAAGAUGGUUUUGCUAUCACUUAUAGAUGGACCCGCGCCGUAUUAGCUAGUUGGUAAGGUAACGGCUUACCAAGGCGACGAUACGUAGCCGACCUGAGAGGGUGAUCGGCCACACUGGAACUGAGACACGGUCCAGACUCCUACGGGAGGCAGCAGUAGGGAAUCUUCCGCAAUGGGCGAAAGCCUGACGGAGCAACGCCGCGUGAGUGAUGAAGGUCUUCGGAUCGUAAAACUCUGUUAUUAGGGAAGAACAUACGUGUAAGUAACUAUGCACGUCUUGACGGUACCUAAUCAGAAAGCCACGGCUAACUACGUGCCAGCAGCCGCGGUAAUACGUAGGUGGCAAGCGUUAUCCGGAAUUAUUGGGCGUAAAGCGCGCGUAGGCGGUUUUUUAAGUCUGAUGUGAAAGCCCACGUCUCAACCGUGGAGGGUCAUUGGAAACUGGAAAACUUGAGUGCAGAAGAGGAAAGUGGAAUUCCAUGUGUAGCGGUGAAAUGCGCAGAGAUAUGGAGGAACACCAGUGGCGAAGGCGACUUUCUGGUCUGUAACUGACGCUGACGUGCGAAAGCGUGGGGAUCAAACAGGAUUAGAUACCCUGGUAGUCCACGCCGUAAACGAUGAGUGCUAAGUGUUAGGGGGUUUCCGCCCCUUAGUGCUGCAGCUAACGCAUUAAGCACUCCGCCUGGGGAGUACGACCGCAAGGUUGAAACUCAAAGGAAUUGACGGGGACCCGCACAAGCGGUGGAGCAUGUGGUUUAAUUCGAAGCAACGCGAAGAACCUUACCAAAUCUUGACAUCCUUUGACAACUCUAGAGAUAGAGCCUUCCCCUUCGGGGGACAAAGUGACAGGUGGUGCAUGGUUGUCGUCAGCUCGUGUCGUGAGAUGUUGGGUUAAGUCCCGCAACGAGCGCAACCCUUAAGCUUAGUUGCCAUCAUUAAGUUGGGCACUCUAAGUUGACUGCCGGUGACAAACCGGAGGAAGGUGGGGAUGACGUCAAAUCAUCAUGCCCCUUAUGAUUUGGGCUACACACGUGCUACAAUGGACAAUACAAAGGGCAGCGAAACCGCGAGGUCAAGCAAAUCCCAUAAAGUUGUUCUCAGUUCGGAUUGUAGUCUGCAACUCGACUACAUGAAGCUGGAAUCGCUAGUAAUCGUAGAUCAGCAUGCUACGGUGAAUACGUUCCCGGGUCU